rnacentral:rRNA from 1 species
GCUAUUGGAGUUCGAUUAAGCCAUGCGAGUCGAGAGUCUUAGGGACUCGGCGUACCGCUCAGUAACACGUGGGUAACCUGCCCUAUGCUGGGGAAUAACCUCGGGAAACUGAGAAUAAUGCCCCAUAGUCCACAAUGCCUGGAACGGUUUGUGGAUCAAAGCUCCGGCGGCAUAGGAUGGGCCUGCGGCGUAUCAGGUUGUAGGGGGUGUAACGUACCCUCUAGCCAUCAACGCGUACGGGUGUUGGGAGACAUAGCCCGGAGAUGGAUUCUGAGACACGGAUCCAGACCCUACGGGGUGCAGCAGGCGCGAAAACUUGGCAAUGCGAGAAAUCGUGACCAGGGAACUCCAAGUGGCUGGGGUAAGACCCAGUCUUUUCUUGACUCUUCAAAGGUCUUGGAAUAAGGGGUGGGUAAGGACGGUGCCAGCCGCCGCGGUAAUACCGGCGCCUCAAGUGGUAGUCGAUUUUAUUGGGCCUAAAACGUCCGUAGCCUGUUUGGUACAUUCGUGGGUAAAUCAACCAGCUCAACUGGUUGAAUUCUGCGAGCACGGCCAGACUUGGGACCGGGAGAGGUGUGGGGUACGCUCAGGGUAGGGGUAAAAUCCUGUCAUCCUGAGCGGACCACCUGUUGCGAAGGCGCCACACUAGAACGGAUCCGACGGUCAGGGACGAAGCCUAGGGGCACGAACCGGAUUAGAUACCCGGGUAGUCCUAGGUGUAAACGCUGUGGACUUGGUGUUGGGGACUCUCCGAGAUUCCUCAGUGCCGAAGCGAAGGUGAUAAGUCCACUGCCUGGGGAGUACGGUCGCAAGGCUGAAACUUAAAGGAAUUGGCGGGGGAGCACCGC